rnacentral:misc_RNA from 1 species
GGAAGAUAUGUACAAUUGGUGCGGAGAAAGGAAGGAAAAUGCUGAGAUUUAUAUCAAAUUGGUGAAUAGAGAAUUAAAAACAGAAUAGAUGUUUUUACAUUACAUUACAUAGUUACUUGAUUCACUGCCCCCCAGUCAUAGUUCCAUGAUAUAGGAUGAAGUAAUGAACAUCCAAAAUCAGGAUCACCAACUCUCUCUCUCUCUC